AGUAGAGUCAGCUAAUCAAGCUUUCGGGCCCAUGCCCCGGCAAUGUAGGUUAAUCUCCUCCCUCUACUA
rnacentral:tRNA from 1 species